AUUGAACGCUGGCGGCAUGCCUUACACAUGCAAGUCGAACGGUAACGCGGGGCAACCUGGCGACGAGUGGCGAACGGGUGAGUAACGCAUCGGAACGUGCCCAGUAGUGGGGGAUAGCCCGGCGAAAGCCGGAUUAAUACCGCAUACGACCUAUGGGUGAAAGGGGGGGAUCGCAAGACCUCUCGCUAUUGGAGCGGCCGAUGUCAGAUUAGGUAGUUGGUGGGGUAAAGGCCCACCAAGCCUUCGAUCUGUAGCUGGUCUGAGAGGACGACCAGCCACACUGGGACUGAGACACGGCCCAGACGCCUACGGGAGGCAGCAGUGGGGAAUUUUGGACAAUGGGCGCAAGCCUGAUCCAGCCAUGCCGCGUGCGGGAAGAAGGCCUUCGGGUUGUAAACCGCUUUUGUCGGGGAAGAAACGCUCUGGGCUAAUACCCCGGGGUAAUGACGGUACCUGAAGAAUAAGCACCGGCUAACUACGUGCCAGCAGCCGCCGUAA
rnacentral:rRNA from 1 species